GGGUUGUGAGGUUAAGCGACUAAGCGUACACGGUGGAUGCCCUGGCAGUCAGAGGCGAUGAAGGACGUGCUAAUCUGCGAUAAGCGUCGGUAAGGUGAUAUGAACCGUUAUAACCGGCGAUUUCCGAAUGGGGAAACCCAGUGUGAUUCGUCACACUAUCAUUAACUGAAUCCAUAGGUUAAUGAGGCGAACCGGGGGAACUGAAACAUCUAAGUACCCCGAGGAAAAGAAAUCAACCGAGAUUCCCCCAGUAGCGGCGAGCGAACGGGGAGCAGCCCAGAGCCUGAAUCAGUGUGUGUGUUAGUGGAAGCGUCUGGAAAGGCGCGCGAUACAGGGUGACAGCCCCGUACACAAAAAUGCACAUAUUGUGAGCUCGAUGAGUAGGGCGGGACACGUGGUAUCCUGUCUGAAUAUGGGGGGCCCAUCCUCCAAGGCUAAAUACUCCUGACUGACCGAUAGUGAACCAGUACCGUGAGGGAAAGGCGAAAAGAACCCCGGCGAGGGGAGUGAAAAAGAACCUGAAACCGUGUACGUACAAGCAGUGGGAGCACGCUUAGGCGUGUGACUGCGUACCUUUUGUAUAAUGGGUCAGCGACUUAUAUUCUGUAGCAAGGUUAACCGAAUAGGGGAGCCGAAGGGAAACCGAGUCUUAACUGGGCGUUAAGUUGCAGGGUAUAGACCCGAAACCCGGUGAUCUAGCCAUGGGCAGGUUGAAGGUUGGGUAACACUAACUGGAGGACCGAACCGACUAAUGUUGAAAAAUUAGCGGAUGACUUGUGGCUGGGGGUGAAAGGCCAAUCAAACCGGGAGAUAGCUGGUUCUCCCCGAAAGCUAUUUAGGUAGCGCCUCGUGAAUUCAUCUCCGGGGGUAGAGCACUGUUUCGGCAAGGGGGUCAUCCCGACUUACCAACCCGAUGCAAACUGCGAAUACCGGAGAAUGUUAUCACGGGAGACACACGGCGGGUGCUAACGUCCGUCGUGAAGAGGGAAACAACCCAGACCGCCAGCUAAGGUCCCAAAGUCAUGGUUAAGUGGGAAACGAUGUGGGAAGGCCCAGACAGCCAGGAUGUUGGCUUAGAAGCAGCCAUCAUUUAAAGAAAGCGUAAUAGCUCACUGGUCGAGUCGGCCUGCGCGGAAGAUGUAACGGGGCUAAACCAUGCACCGAAGCUGCGGCAGCGACGCUUAUGCGUUGUUGGGUAGGGGAGCGUUCUGUAAGCCUGCGAAGGUGUGCUGUGAGGCAUGCUGGAGGUAUCAGAAGUGCGAAUGCUGACAUAAGUAACGAUAAAGCGGGUGAAAAGCCCGCUCGCCGGAAGACCAAGGGUUCCUGUCCAACGUUAAUCGGGGCAGGGUGAGUCGACCCCUAAGGCGAGGCCGAAAGGCGUAGUCGAUGGGAAACAGGUUAAUAUUCCUGUACUUGGUGUUACUGCGAAGGGGGGGACGGAGAAGGCUAUGUUGGCCGGGCGACGGUUGUCCCGGUUUAAGCGUGUAGGCUGGUUUUCCAGGCAAAUCCGGAAAAUCAAGGCUGAGGCGUGAUGACGAGGCACUACGGUGCUGAAGCAACAAAUGCCCUGCUUCCAGGAAAAGCCUCUAAGCAUCAGGUAACAUCAAAUCGUACCCCAAACCGACACAGGUGGUCAGGUAGAGAAUACCAAGGCGCUUGAGAGAACUCGGGUGAAGGAACUAGGCAAAAUGGUGCCGUAACUUCGGGAGAAGGCACGCUGAUAUGUAGGUGAAGUCCCUUGCGGAUGGAGCUGAAAUCAGUCGAAGAUACCAGCUGGCUGCAACUGUUUAUUAAAAACACAGCACUGUGCAAACACGAAAGUGGACGUAUACGGUGUGACGCCUGCCCGGUGCCGGAAGGUUAAUUGAUGGGGUCAGCGCAAGCGAAGCUCUUGAUCGAAGCCCCGGUAAACGGCGGCCGUAACUAUAACGGUCCUAAGGUAGCGAAAUUCCUUGUCGGGUAAGUUCCGACCUGCACGAAUGGCGUAAUGAUGGCCAGGCUGUCUCCACCCGAGACUCAGUGAAAUUGAACUCGCUGUGAAGAUGCAGUGUACCCGCGGCAAGACGGAAAGACCCCGUGAACCUUUACUAUAGCUUGACACUGAACAUUGAGCCUUGAUGUGUAGGAUAGGUGGGAGGCUUUGAAGUGUGGACGCCAGUCUGCAUGGAGCCGGCCUUGAAAUACCACCCUUUAAUGUUUGAUGUUCUAACGUGGACCCGUGAUCCGGGUUGCGGACAGUGUCUGGUGGGUAGUUUGACUGGGGCGGUCUCCUCCUAAAGAGUAACGGAGGAGCACGAAGGUUGGCUAAUCCUGGUCGGACAUCAGGAGGUUAGUGCAAUGGCAUAAGCCAGCUUGACUGCGAGCGUGACGGCGCGAGCAGGUGCGAAAGCAGGUCAUAGUGAUCCGGUGGUUCUGAAUGGAAGGGCCAUCGCUCAACGGAUAAAAGGUACUCCGGGGAUAACAGGCUGAUACCGCCCAAGAGUUCAUAUCGACGGCGGUGUUUGGCACCUCGAUGUCGGCUCAUCACAUCCUGGGGCUGAAGUAGGUCCCAAGGGUAUGGCUGUUCGCCAUUUAAAGUGGUACGCGAGCUGGGUUUAGAACGUCGUGAGACAGUUCGGUCCCUAUCUGCCGUGGGCGCUGGAGAACUGAGGGGGGGCUGCUCCUAGUACGAGAGGACCGGAGUGGACGCAUCACUGGUGUUCGGGUUGUCAUGCCAAUGGCACUGCCCGGUAGCUAAAUGCGGAAGAGAUAAGUGCUGAAAGCAUCUAAGCACGAAACUUGCCCCGAGAUGAGUUCUCCCUGACCCUUUAAGGGUCCUGAAGGAACGUUGAAGACGACGACGUUGAUAGGCCGGGUGUGUAAGCGCAGCGAUGCGUUGAGCUAACCGGUACUAAUGAACCGUGAGGCUUAACCUUACAACGCCGAAG
rnacentral:rRNA from 1 species